rnacentral:rRNA from 1 species
UACGGAGGGGGCAAGCGUUACUCGGAAUUAUUGGGCGUAAAGGGCGCGUGGGCGGUCGUGUGCGUCGAGGGUGAAAUCCCCGGGCUUAACCCGGGAGCUGCCUUCGAUACGGCACGGCUUGAGUCCGGGAGAGGGAUGUGGAAUUCCAGGUGUAGCGGUGAAAUGCGUAGAUAUCUGGAGGAACACCGGUGGCGAAGGCGACAUCCUGGACCGGUAUUGACGCUGAGGCGCGAAAGCCAGGGGAGCAAACGGG